CCUACGGGAGGCAGCAGUGAGGAAUAUUGGUCAAUGGGCGCGAGCCUGAACCAGCCAAGUAGCGUGAAGGAUGACUGCCCUACGGGUUGUAUACUUCUUUUAUAAAGGAAUAAAGUGAGGCACGUGUGCCUUUUUGUAUGUACUUUAUGAAUAAGGAUCGGCUAACUCCGUGCCAGCAGCCGCGGUAAUACGGAGGAUCCGAGCGUUAUCCGGAUUUAUUGGGUUUAAAGGGAGCGUAGAUGGGUUGUUAAGUCAGUUGUGAAAGUUUCGGGCUCAACCGUAAAAUUGCAAUUGAUACUGGCAGUCUUGAGGACAGUUGAGGUAGGCGGAAUUCGUGGUGUAGCGGUGAAAUGCUUAGAGAUCACGCAGAACUCCGAUUGCGAAGGCAGCUUACUAAUCUGCCACUGACAUUGAUGCUCGAAAGUGUGGGGAUCAAACAGGAUUAGAUACCCUGGUAGUC
rnacentral:rRNA from 1 species